UUAGGAAACACAGAUAUUUAUUCAAAUAUUUUUCCACUGUAUACUAUCAGACAGGGUGCAAUUGGGGCCAUUUCCCCCAACAUCAGCAUAGUUCUGGCAUAGCUAGGAGGAGACUUGAACACAAGUUAUUUACUGAGGUUUAUUUUCGAGCAAUGCAGAAACAAAAAGGCCCAAUUAUAAUCUUCUUUAGACCAAACUAACUCCAUUGGCUUUAGUAGAUUUGUUCCUGACAGAGCUGUUCCUGAGAUCCAAAAGAAAACCCAAAGUGCCACUUAGUACUGAAAUCCUUCUUGCUAUUUUACAUUUCUUUGGAAAAUUGCAUAAAGUCUGUGGUUGUUUAAGUCACUCAAUGCAAGAAAAAAAAAAUUUGCUGCAGUACUGUGGUUACAGACCCAUACUGUUCAUAAAAACAAAUGCAAAAGUCUAGCAAAAGGGUCGGUUCUGUCUGGAAAAUGGUGGGUUUUACCUUCUCAGUCGAUACAAAUGUGUGUGCACACACUUCUAAAAUUCCUAUUAUUAAACACAGUGAGAAGACUGACAAGCUGCCUGUCCAAGGCAAAGAAAUGAGAUGUUCCAGCCACUCUGGACACCGCCAGCAUUGCUGGCUCAACUUCUUUCACAUGGUAAAAGAAGCUACAAGAAGUUCAUUUUGAAGACCAGGUUAUUAUGCAAUGGCCUUGGUUACAUCAGCACAGCAAGGGAAGCACUGGGGGAGAGUAAAUAAAUGUCAAGGGUCUGUGUCUGCGAGACAGCAGCUGCCUGCAGAGUGCCUGCAGGAAGCCAGCCGUGGAUUACUGCCAGGGAGAGCACCAGUGGCACCCGGCCAGCACAGGCAUUGCCACCCUCCUACAGCAGCAGAGCUCAGACCACGAGACUCUGGUACCCACAGCAGCCCCCAGCACUGUGGAUACAGGGCUGGGGCUGGACGUGCCAACCCCCUGGUUCACCCCACUGCACCCAAGCCAGGUUUUGCAGCACUGCUGGUCAGGACAGAGACGAUAAAGCAGGGAAACAGGCACUGGGACACAAAGUCUCCACAGAGGGGUCCAGGCAUCCCACUGCUCCAUCCCAGCUCCUUCUGCUAAGCCAUUAGCUUCUCAGAGAAACAAACUCUCUUUCUGAAGGAGUGGCAUGCUCUAAAAAUGAAUUGGCCAUGGCUGUACAUUUGUAUUACCUAAUUUUUGAACCACUGCCUUCAAAGGAGAAAUCCGUAAGGAAAAGGAUGGAAUGACAUAUAAACCAGCAUUAACAAAUUACAAGGCCAGGCUGGAUGUGGCUUUGAGCAACCUGGUCUAGUGGAAGAUGUCCCAGCCCAUGGCAGGGGGUUGGAGCUAGAUAUUCUUUGGGGUCUCUUUCAACCCAAACCAUUCUAUGAUGCUAUGAUUUCAUGAUCCAUGCUAGAGUACUUUGCAGAACUUGGACUUUAGUAGCAAGUCAUGCUCUGAAACUAUUAAAUAAAUAGUAAGUAAAAAGUGUUGCUGAUUCUUCGAGCAUUUUACAUCCAAUGUACAUAUUCCCAGUUAUUAUUCUACCAUAAUAUGUGGUACUUCUCACAGCCAAAGCUUUUAUUUUAUAAACAUUGUGAAGUAAGGAGGCAGUUAUUUUUAUAAGGGAUCAUAACAUUAAGAAUGCCUAUGUAAUAAAUUGUCCUGUCAAAGUGGAAAAAAAAAAAAAAAAAAUGAAG
rnacentral:lncRNA from 1 species